rfam:Triticum aestivum genome assembly, contig: Triticum_aestivum_CS42_TGACv1_scaffold_434287_5DL
GAAGUACUCCCUCCGUCCCCAAAAAAUUGUCUUAGAUUCGUCUAGAUACGGAUGUAUCUAAUACUAAACCAUGACUUGAUAAAUCCAUAUUUAGACAAAUCUAAGACAAGAAUUUUGGGACGGAAGGAGUACUCU